ACAUACGACCAUACCUACUGGAAAGCUCGGGAUCCCGUCCGCUCUCCCACUCGAUAAACCAGUAAGGGCCGGACUAGUAGUCGGGUGGGUGACCACCGGCGAACCCCCGGUGUUGUAUGUU
rfam:Verticillium longisporum isolate VL1 genome assembly, contig: scaffold_96